rnacentral:piRNA from 1 species
AUGUACUCUGGAAUAAAAUGGAUGGU